rnacentral:SRP_RNA from 1 species
GCCGGGCGCGGUGGCGCGCGCCUGUAAUCCCAGCUACUCGGGAGGCUGAGGCUGGAGGAUCGCUUGAGCUCAGGAGUUCUGGGCUGCAGUGCGCUAUGCCGAUCGGGUGUCCGCACUAAGUUCGGCAUCAAUAUGGUGACCUCCCGGGAGCGGGGGACCACCAGGUUGCCUAAGGAGGGGUGAACCGGCCCAGGUCGGAAACGGAGCAGGUCAAAAACUCCCGUGCUGAUCAGUAGUGGGAUCGCGCCUGUGAAUAGCCACUGUACUGCAGCCUGGGCAACAUAGCGAGACCCUGUCUCUU